AUUGAACGCUGGCGGCAUGCCUUACACAUGCAAGUCGAACGGUAACGCGGGGCAACCUGGCGACGAGUGGCGAACGGGUGAGUAAUGCAUCGGAACGUGCCCAGAAGUGGGGGAUAGCCCGGCGAAAGCCGGAUUAAUACCGCAUGAGACCUGAGGGUGAAAGCGGGGGAUCGCAAGACCUCGCGCUUUUGGAGCGGCCGAUGUCAGAUUAGCUAGUUGGUGGGGUAAAGGCCUACCAAGGCGACGAUCUGUAGCUGGUCGGAGAGGGCAACCAGCCACGCUGGGACUGAGACACGGCCCAGCCUCCUACGGGAGGCAGCAGUGGGGAAUUUUGGACAAUGGGCGCAAGCCUGAUCCAGCCAUGCCGCGUGCGGGAAGAAGGCCUUCGGGUUGUAAACCGCUUUUGUCAGGGAAGAAACGCUCUGGGCUAAUACCCUGGGGUAAUGACGGUACCUGAAGAAUAAGCACCGGCUAACUACGUGCCAGCCGCCGCCGUAA
rnacentral:rRNA from 1 species